GACGAACGCUGGCGGCGUGCUUAACACAUGCAAGUCGAACGGAAAGGCCCUGCUUUUGUGGGGUGCUCGAGUGGCGAACGGGUGAGUAACACGUGAGUAACCUGCCCUUGACUUUGGGAUAACUUCAGGAAACUGGGGCUAAUACCGGAUAGGAGCUCCUGCUGCAUGGUGGGGGUUGGAAAGUUUCGGCGGUUGGGGAUGGACUCGCGGGUUAUCAGCUUGUUGGUGGGGUAGUGGCUUACCAAGGCUUUGACGGGUAGCCGGCCUGAGAGGGUGACCGGCAACAUAGGGACUGAGGUACGGCCCAGACUCCUACGGGAGGCAGCAGGGGGGAAUAUUGCACAAUGAGCGGAAGCCUGAUGCAGCAACGCGGCGUGCGGGAUGACGGCCUUCGGGUUGUAAACCGCUGUCGCCUGUGACGAAGCGUGAGUGACGGUAAUGGGUAAAGAAGCACCGGCUAACUACGUG
rnacentral:rRNA from 1 species